UGGCCUCAGCUGCAUUGCAGCACCUUGAGACCAGGCGUCUGGUUGUUCCACACUCUUCCCGCUGCAGGCUAUGCACUUGGAGCCGGACUGCCUGGAGCUGAAUGGGAGUUCCUCCUUCUAAGCUGUGUGACCUCGGCGUGUGGUCCUGAGUCACCUGAAUGACAUGCUGAGGAGCGGCCCUGUCGCCCAGCGUACCUGGGAGGACCUUCGCUAAGGAGAACACCGGCCCGAGUGGCAGGUGGAGAAGCAGGAUGCUCCCGGGCACCGAGCGCCGAGACGGAUGCUUCCCGGGCAUCUUGGAUGGUGGGAUCGUGGAGUCCUCACAAGCCAGGACAAGAGGCACAUACGUCCUCACUCACGCUUGCAGAAAUCUGAGCUCCAGGGGAUUGUCUAAAGUCACGCCGUGAGAAGUGGCAGCACCCGACUGGGAGCCCUGAUCCGAGGCCCUGCUUGCAUGUCUGCAGUCUAGUCCGGGGACCGCGGAGCCCUGGAAACCUGGCUGGUCUGCACUGAGAGGUGCAGUAAGUGUAACUUACACACCCGAAUUAGCACAAAAAGAGGCACGAAGGCCAUCCUGCUUGUUCACUCGGAGGAUACUUGCGGGCAAAGGAAUCUUCAGACGCAAGAAAGUCAACCAGCUCUGGUUCUCAGUGACUUUUAGGAUGUUGUUUCUCUCAUACACUUUAUUUCUUUCUUGUGGUUUAUUUCAUCAACAGAGGACCUUGAUGUAAUCAUUUCC
rnacentral:lncRNA from 1 species